UGAAUAUCAUUCCAUAUUGAAAUUACUUAUGUGGCAUUCGCAGUUAGUGUAGCUUACACAAUUGUAAAAUCUUUUUAAAUUCUUCUAAAAAUCUGUAAAAUGUUCUCAACAUUCAAAAUUUUAGUAAUAUACCUCAUAAUUCCAUCAAGAUGUACCUAUAUACCAACACCUAAUGAUGAAACAACUCUCAGCUUUAGAGAAAAAGUAAAAGAGGAAAUGAAUGAUAUUAAUGAAAUUUUGAACAAAAUUCAGGAGGCUCCAAUAAGAUAUAAGUUGGAAGGAAAACUCGAGGAAAUAGUAAAAAGAGCUGUCAAGGCUGAUGUGCUCUUGGAAAAUCAGGGAGGUUUGAAAAUGCAAAACGUAAUCAAUUUUUGGAAUUCUUUUUAGCAUUACCUCUUAGAGUGAACAAAAAAAUGAAGAGAUAGAAUGAUGCUGAUAAAUACAGAUUACUGCUUGGAUUAACUUACCGAAUAGAUUGUUUAGAAUCAACUUUAGCCCCUGGUUUGGAUUUUAAAGGAAAACAACGUCGCGUUAGAUGGUCAACAAUUUUUAGUCUAGAAACUCCAGCAGUUAAAAAAUUUAAAAAGAAGGUUGAAGAUGCAGGCAUGACUGAAGUUGCAUUCGCUGAAUGCAUUGAAAGAUUAUGUAAUGAACGAAAUAACAGAGCCGGGCAUGCUAAAAUUUCAUUACCAAAAAUUGUUAAUGAGAAAACAAUUGAAGGUGCCUUGGCAAUAAUGGAAAUUACUGAUGACAAACCUGUUGUAGAAACUGUAAAAAUUAUUGUGGCUCCUGUAGAAGAUUUAGAUGCAACAUAGAACCCAUAAAAAUUAUUGUGACUCCUGUAGAAGAUUUAGAUUUAACAACUACUACAACUACCUAAAAAUCCUGAAUACACUUGCAUUUUAAAAAAAUUUUUACAUUCAAUUCUGUAUAAAUAAGGUUAAGGAAUUAAAGCUCUGAUUAUUCAUUCAAUUAUUUAUAUACAUUUUUAUAAUAGUUACAAAAAAUAAUACAUAUUAUGUUGAAUCAGGUU